AAGGAUUCCCUUAGUAAUGGCGAAUGAAGAGGGAUCAGCUCAAAUUUGAAAUCUGCGUCGCCUGCGACGCCGAAUUGUAGUUUCGAGAAGCACUUUCUAGGCGGGUCCUGCUCCGUCCAAGGCGCUGGGAACAGCGCGUCACAGAGGGUGAGAACCCCGUCCGUGGCGGGAUGGGCCGCUGACGUCGUGCUUUCGAAGAGUCGGGUUGUUUGGGAAUGCAGCCCAAAAGGGGUGGUAAACUCCAUCUAAAGCUAAAUAUUGGCACGAGACCGAUAGCGAACAAGUACCGUGAGGGAAAGAUGAAAAGCACUUUGAAAAGAGAGUUAAAAAGUACGUGAAACCGUUGAAAGGGAAACGGAUGGGGCUGGCAAUGCGCCGUGCGAGAUUCAGCCGACGGGUGGCUCGGGCGGGCGGUUUGCGGAUCCGAACGGACCGCGGCCGUCGGGUUCGGGCUCUCCGUCGUCGCACUUCUCGCCGGCGCGCGCCAACGUCGGUUGGUGCUGGGUCUAAAUGGCUCGGGCAAGGUAGGUUCCUCCUCUCGGGGAAGAGCUGUUACAGGCCCUUGCGCAAUGGCCCGGUGCCGACCGUGGAGCUGCGGCGUGAGCCUUCUUGGCUAGGGUCUCGUCUCUCCGGCCGGCGGUCGACUGCGGUGGACUGCGUGCAGUGCGCCGCGACUGUCGCCGGUCGCUGGGGCGGUGACCUCGUACUUCGCGCCAAGGACGUUGGCGAUCAGACGGCCUCAUUCGACCCGUCUUGAAACACGGACCAAGGAGUCUAACAUGUGCGCGAGUCUUCGAGUGAGAGAAACUCGCCGGCGCAAUGAAAGUGAAGGUGGCCUCGGCCGCCGAGGUGAGAGCCCGCCCCCUCGUGGGCGUGGGUGCAUCAUCGACCGACCUAUCCUGCUCUCAGGAAGGUUUGAGUAAGAGCGCAUCUGU
rnacentral:rRNA from 1 species